AGGACGAACGCUGGCGGCGUGCUUAACACAUGCAAGUCGAGCGGUAAGGCCUUUCGGGGUACACGAGCGGCGAACGGGCGAGUAACACGUGGGUGAUCUGCCCUGCACUCUGGGAUAAGCCUGGGAAACUGGGUCUAAUACCGGAUAUGACCUGCUCUCGCAGUGGGGGUGGGUGGAAAGAUUUAGUCGGUGCAGGAUGGGCCCGCGGCCUAUCGAGUCUUGGUUGGGUGGGGUAAUCGGACCUACCAAGGCGACGGACGGGUAGCCGACCUGAGGAGGGUGACCGGCACGACGUGGGACUGA
rnacentral:rRNA from 1 species